GCAGCAGUAGGGAAUCUUCCGCAAUGGACGAAAGUCUGACGGAGCAACGCCGCGUGAGUGAUGAAGGUUUUCGGAUCGUAAAGCUCUGUUGUUAGGGAAGAACAAGUGCCGUUCAAAUAGGGCGGCACCUUGACGGUACCUAACCAGAAAGCCACGGCUAACUACGUGCCAGCAGCCGCGGUAAUACGUAGGUGGCAAGCGUUGUCCGGAAUUAUUGGGCGUAAAGGGCUCGCAGGCGGUUUCUUAAGUCUGAUGUGAAAGCCCCCGGCUCAACCGGGGAGGGUCAUUGGAAACUGGGGAACUUGAGUGCAGAAGAGGAGAGUGGAAUUCCACGUGUAGCGGUGAAAUGCGUAGAGAUGUGGAGGAACACCAGUGGCGAAGGCGACUCUCUGGUCUGUAACUGACGCUGAGAG
rnacentral:rRNA from 1 species